AUGCAGUGAGACCUGAAUUCCUUAAAGAGUAGUCAGUGCCUUCUGGAAUUAGGGUUUCUGAAGGGUCUCCGAUGGAUAUCUGCAUUACCUUAGACUAUGAAAUUGGCAAGUUUCACUGUCAAUUCUUCUCUCUGUAUUUCCAUCCACCCUUCCAAUUACUACAUCCUAUAACAGAUAUAGCACAUAGUCCAUUCUUACAGAACAUGUGAAAAGAAUUAGUUAACUAAAUGAGACUGACCCCUGUCCAGGGAAGUGGAGGAUCAAAAUACAUCUGCAGGAAGCUGUAGAUCUAGCUUUGCCCUCCACCCCUAUGCUACCCUUCUACCUUCUCUUCUCCUUGUAAUGUACAUAAAAGAAGGCCUGAUUUGUCACUUGGGAUGGUUACUGGACCCUUCUAAAGUGUACUUAGGUGAGGUUUUAUAUUCCCUGAAGUUUGACAUUUCCUGAAUUUUUAUUAAUUCUGAUGACUUGGAAAUUAUCACCUAGUGAAAUUUGUAAAAUCAAAGUAGUCAUGGGUCUCUCUUAAAUACCAUCUUUAAAAUGCUGGUGGAGCCUGGCAAGCUAAUUUGCUUUUCUGUAUAUUCCUUAUUGCAGAACAAUUGCAAUUCAAUACUGGGAGGACUUCCAGAAGGAUUUCAUCAAAUAACAAGCGUGUUAUUCAGAGAUCCAUAAUGAUAUGUUCAGACCCAAGUACAGACACUUCUUUGGAAUGAUUAUAGCAGAAGAGAAAUUCAAAACAAACAGCUCCGUACCUGAAAAGGUACAACAAGGAGGGAUGAAGAAAGAUCACUGACCAGAAAUAAAAUUGGGAGUUUAGACAAUUAAAUUAUCUGGACAUUUUAAUUCCUGAACUACGACUAGGCUACAACAUGCGGACUGCUGUAGAUGUCACCCAGGAACAGAAAAUAACUAGCCUCGUGAGAAAGUUUUGAAUGGGCAAAAGGGAAAUUGAAUACAAUUGUUUUUUGCUUGCACCAUAUAGAGGCGUAUUCUUUCUAUGUACAGUGAUAGGAAACUGGUGGUGUUUGACAUCAUCCAAAAACAGGGCCCAUUUUUUGAAUCAUAAAUUAUCUUCAUGAACACACCCAUUGCCUUCAACAUACAGCCUAAGUCUCAUACUUUCUAAAAUAUCUCCGGUACCUGCUCCAGUUCUCAGUGAUCACCAAUUCCUUUGUCCUCCAAUAACAUAAAUUUCUUUUCUACCUUGUACUUAGAAUUCUGUUCAAACUAUCUUGUUGUAUUCAAAAUAAUUUUAACGAGCUAUAGUUGACAUAACAUAUUUAGUUAUCUAUCUAUGUAUCUGUCAUCUAUCAAUCAUCUGAUGAGAAUUUAUCAUUACACUCAAGAUAAUGAGCUCAGACAUGAUUCCCAAAUAUUUUCUCAUCAGGCUUUGUAAUUCUUCCCUCUCAACACUCCCCAGCAUCCCCCAAACCCAAUAAACCACUAAUCUGCUUUCAGUCACUAUAGAUUCAUUUAUAUUUUCUGAAAUUUUAUAUACAAUGGAAUCAUUCACUAUGAACUCUUUUUCAUCUGACGUCUUAUAUUCAGCAUAAUUAUUUUCAUAUGUUUCCGUGUUGCAGAGUAUAAUUUCGUUACAUAGAUAUUCUAUCUUAUUUAUCAAUUUACAUUUUUGUAAAGAUUGUGAAAUAAAAAUAAAAUCCUAAGCCCUGCAACUGACUGAGCAGACACCUGUUGCCCAAGAAGACUCCAGAAAAACUUUGAAAAAUUGAGUUUCCUGGUCAUGACAAGGUGGGAGGUUGAGUACCUCUUGGUGUACCUCAUUCCUUGCCAAUCUUUACUAGAUUAUUUUCUAAGGGUUAAACAGAAACUGGCCCUGGAAAAAUAAAGAAAUGAAAACUCACUCCUUUGCUGAUUUCAGCCAACUGCUGGACACUGCAGCUGGAAUCCUCUCCCUUCUUGUAGUUUCUACACAGCAGCUCACCAGUUUCAUAGCACAUUCCUUUCUGAUUUUUUACUACCAGCCAUGGACUGGUUCUGGCCAGAUACAGAGGCUGCCCACAAGAUGUCUGUCAUCUUUUAAUGUAUACAGCCUAAUUUUAAUACAUUUAAAUGUUAAUUCUCCAUCCUAAAGUGAACAUGUGACAUAUGUAAUAUGUAUGUUUGCUUACUAGCAUAUGUGUGUCCCUUGUGAAUAUUCAUAACUCUUUUUAUAACUUGUUGAUAUGUAUACUUAGCCAUCCUGUCCAGUAUAAAUUCCUGUCUCAUCCUUCUUCCAUUGAAGUACCUGCUUUUGAUUUCUGCUGGAGGCUAUGCUUCCCAGUCUGCAGGGUGGCCAGCCUGCAGGCGGAAACCCUUUAUAAGAAACAAAGCUCUCCUCUCCAAAUAUAUGGAUCUCAUGAUUUCAAGUCUACAAGACUUAAGUUGUUUUCUUUUCUUUUUUUUUUUUUUUUUUUUUUUUGAGAUGGAGUUUCACUCUUGUGGCCCAGGCUAAAGUGCAAUGGCACGAUCUCAGCUCACUGAAACCUCUGUCUCCUAGGUUCAAGCGAUUCUCCUGCCUUGGCCUCCCAAGUAGUGGAAAUUACAGGCACCUGCCACCAUGCCUAGCUAAUUUUUGAAUUUUUAGUAGAGACGGAGUUUCGCCAUGUUGGCCAGGCUGAUCUCGAGCCCCUGACCUCAGGUGAUUCACCUGCCUCAGCCUACCAAACUGCUGGGAUUACAGGCAUGAGCCAAGGCACCCAGACAGUUUUCAAACUACUGUUAUAAAUAAAGGUGCUGUAAACAUUGGUGUACAAUCUUUAUCUGAACAUCUGUUUUUAUUUCUCAUGAAUAAAUGCCUAGAUGUUAAACGGCAGGAUUAUAAGGUAAUUAUAUGUUAAACUUUCUAAGAAAUUUCUGAACAGUUUUUUCAAUUGCCUGUACAAUUUUUACAUUUCUACCAGUAGUGUAUGAGAAUUUCAGUUGUUUAACUCUCUUACCAAUACUUGUUAUCUAAUUUAACUAUUAUCUGAAUUAUUGUUAUUAUCCAAAUGAAAUUUACUGAUUCUAGUGAGUAGUAAUAUCUCACUGUAGUGUUAAUUUGAAUUUACUUACUCAUGAUGUUGCACAUCUUUUCAUAUGCUGAUUUGCCAUAAAUUGCUGGAUUACAGCUAAUAAAAAUAAACAAAAUGAAAUCAUAAAAAUACUAAAUUAGCCCUAAAGAAAAAAAAAAAGAAAGGAAAGAGGAAGAAGAAAAAAAAAUGGGACAAAUAGAAAACAAUGGGUAAGGAGACAGUAUUAAUUAAUAAUAUCAAUAACCACAUUACAUAUAAAUAGUCUAAAUACUCAAAAGGCAGAUAUUGCUAGAUAAAGUAGCAAGAAUUGCUUAUCACUGCCUUAAAAAACCUAAUUUGAGUAUAUAGAUAGCAAUGGGGUAGAAAUAACUGAAUGGGAAAAUAUAUACUAAUAUUAAUGAAAAAAUGCUAAAAUGACUACAGUAAUUUUAGACAGAGUGGGUUUCAGAGAUAAAAAAUAUUCAAAGGAGCCACUGAAAACUAUUUAACUUCCAUCUAUAAUGUUUAUUUUUUCUAGUGUUGCUUUAUGCUAAAAGAACAUUUUAAUUUAUUGCACUUGACUUGUUAA
rnacentral:lncRNA from 10 species